GCCGCGGUGCUGGAACUGGCAGACAGGCAGGUCUCAAAAACCUGUGGUAUGAAAAUACCGUGUGGGUUCAACUCCCUCCCGCGGCA
rnacentral:tRNA from 6 species